rnacentral:rRNA from 1 species
UACAGAGGGGGCAAGCGUUGUUCGGAAUUACUGGGCGUAGAGGGCGCGUAGGCGGCCGCCUAAGUCAGACGUGAAAUCCCUCGGCUCAACCGGGGAACUGCGUCUGAUACUGGGUGGCUUGAAUCCGGGAGAGGGAUGCGGAAUUCCAGGUGUAGCGGUGAAAUGCGUAGAUAUCUGGAGGAACACCGGUGGCGAAGGCGGCAUCCUGGACCGGCAUUGACGCUGAGGCGCGAAAGCCAGGGGAGCAAACGGG